CCUACGGGAGGCAGCAGUGGGGGAUAUUGCACAAUGGGCGGAACCCUGAUGCAGCGACGCCGCGUGGGUGAAGAAGCGCCUCGGCGCGUAAAGCCCUGUCAUCAGGGAAGAAUAUGACGGUACCUGAUGAAGAAGCCCCGGCUAACUACGUGCCAGCAGCCGCGGUAAUACGUAGGGGGCAAGCGUUAUCCGGAUUUACUGGGUGUAAAGAGUGCGAAGAGGGCGAAGCAAGCAAGAUGUGAAAGCCUGGGGCCAAACCCCGAGACUGUUCUGGAAACUGUGUAGCUGGAGUGCGGGAGGGGCAAGUGGAAUUUCUAGUGUAGCGGUGAAAUGCGUAGAUAUCAGGAGGAACACCGGUGGCGGAGGCGGGCUGCUGGGCUGCAACUGACGUUGAGGCCCGAAAGCGUAGGGAGCAAACGGGAUUAGAUACCCGUGUAGUC
rnacentral:rRNA from 1 species